CUUUUUCUCCCAAACCACUUCUUCCCCCCUACCCCCCGCCACGCGAGGCUGCGGCGCACGGUAUGGGUGUGUUUGUGUGUAUUUGUGUGGGGAGGGCGUUUGGAGGGAAGGUUACCGGGAGCUCCGAGGCCGCUGGGGAACAGGGAUCCCGGUGACAAAGAUGGGGAUAUUUCCUCUGUCUUCCACUUGGAAACCUCAACCCCCGCUUCAGGCUCCCUAGAUACUUUCUGGGGCCCAACCGAAGGCCGUAGCCAUCCAAAGCGUUCCCAGCCUUUCUGGGGAGUGAAACUUACCCCCGGGGUUCGUCCUAGAGGAGCGUGAGCGGGGAAUGCCCAGGUCAACCGGGCUGUCCGAAUUCCGCCCCGGCUCAGCCUCCGGCCUCAGUCCGGGAGAGAGAUCUGCCUGUCGGUCUGGGCUGGGGGAAACGCGGCAGUGGCCUGGGCCACAGGUGAGGGCAGAGUAACCAGUGGGAAGGCUGCGUUUUCACGAAGGACUCGGGUGAAGCUGCAGAGCUGCCUUUGAGCCCUGACUCCUUGGCUUCCUGGGUCGGAGGAGAUCUUGUAAUGGAGUGGUUCUUCGUCUCACUAGCAAGAUGCCUGAUUUCCUCAGGAUCAAGGGAUUGAAGAAUGUCCCGGAUUCCACUGGGGAAGGUCCUCCUGAGGAAUGUCAUCCGGCACACAGAUGCUCACAAUAAGGUGGGAGGUACAACCUAGUUACUCCUCAACGCUUACUGAAGAUUCAGGAGGAAUCAGAUAUGUGGAAAAUAAGAGAACUGGAAAAACAGAUGGAAGAUGCUUACCGGGGGACCAAAAGGAAAAUGCUACCCAGCAGUUCAAGCCGGAUGCGCAGUGAUGGUUUUGAUGAAGAAAGUCAAAGAUACUAUUGGAGGCCAAAGAAUGAAAUUUCUGGGACACUGGAAGAUGAUUUUCUUAAGGCUAAAUCCUGGAAUAAAAAGUUCUAUGAUUAUGAAGCAAACAUGCCAGACAGAUGGGGUCACAGUGGUUAUAAAGAGUUAUACCCUGAAGAAUUUGAAACAGACAGUAGUGAUCAGCAAGAUAUUACCAACGGGAAGAAAACAUCUCCCCAGGUAAAGUCAUCUACCCAUGAAUCCCGCAAACACAAGAAGUCAAAGAAAUCCCACAAAAAAAAGCAGAAAAAAAGGUCACACAAAAAACAGAAGAAAAGCAAAAAGGAAGCCACAGAUAUAACAGCAGAUUCCUCGAGUGAGUUCUCAGAAGAAACUGGGGCUUCUGGUACAAGGAAAGGGAAACAACCACAUAAACGCAAGAAAAAAUCCAGGAAAAAGUCUCUCAAAAAACCUGCUUUAUUCUUAGAGGCAGAAAGUAACACUUCACAUUCAGAUGAUUCAGCAUCCAGCAGUUCUGAGGAAAGUGAGGAAAGAGACACUAAGAAAACCAAAAGGAAAAAGAGAGAGAAAAAAGCCCAUACCUCUGUAGCCAACAAUGAAAUACAGGAGAGGACAAACAAACGCACAAAUUGGAAAGUAGCUACAGAUGAAAGGUCUGCUGAGAGCUCAGAGGAUGACUAAAUGGGAAACACUUUUGUUUUCCACAUGACUGUGGAUAUUUACAGUUCUUACUCCUUGUGGUUUUGCCAGUGACUCUUGUUCAGCACGGGGCCUGAGGUCAGAGCUGUCUUGUGCCAUCUGUAUGUUCUGACAGACGUCUUGUCUUCUAUUUUGGCGUUAAGCUUGAUCCCCUUUUCUUGUUAAAAGGGAAUCUGGUAUUUUGUUAUGAAGGUUUCUUGAAGAGAUUAUUUUUUUUUGCAAUUAAUUACGUUUAGUGUAGAGUGCAUAUACAGCAAAUUAAAGGACCCAGAAAGCUGGAUCCAAUAGUGACCUGGGUACACCAAUCGGAAUAUUGAAUUUGGGGAAGUCAAGGGCUGGGAUCAAGAGGUGGAUUGGAACUAAUGCCAUGUAGGAUGGUAUGACAAGGCAACACUGUAUUGCUCUCUGUUUAUAUAGCAGGUGUCACAACUAACUUGUCUUUAGCCUUGGUGCUUUGAUCCUUCUAUAUUUUGACCCCACAGGUGUGGUCCGGUUUACUUAAUCAGGACAUGGGCCUAAGAACAAACCUUUUCCCUUCAUGAUAACAUCCAUAGACAACUUAUUAGAAGGGACUAGAGUUUUUGCAAAUUUCCCUGCUGGAUGGGGCCUAUAGCUAUACUUAGUAUAUGCCUAAACAUGGUAAUUGGAUAGUAAAUGGUUUUCUAGUUCCAUUGCUGUAUAUUUGCCUAAAUGGACUUGUGUUCAAAUUAUUUCUUCAAUUGUCAUAGAUAAUCCUGUACCAAAUGGGGAAGAAUUAGGAAAUAAUCAUGUUGUCUAAUGGUACUCUGGAUUCAGGGCAGCAACUGCCAUUUAAAUGUUGUCUUGUUCAUUUCUAAAUCUGUUCAUGAAGUUUAGGUUUUCCCUGAAACUAAGUUGAAUUAUUUCCAAAAUGAAACAGGCUUCUCAGGGACAUAUCCACUUCUUCCCAGUCUGCCUUUGGAUUAAAGCACCAAGCAGAGACCACAUUAAUUCCCUUUGCUAUACUGUGAUCCUUAGUAUGUUAAUUCUUAAGAAACCAACAUAUCACUGAAAGAAGGCUGGCAGAACGCAAGUGCAUUUUUUCACUGUGGGAAGAAAGAUCAAGUGACGUAUUAUUUUUUCCUGGUUGUCACUUAAUGGGCUGAGUAAAAAGCUUGAAAACUCAGACUUUCGGUCUUGGUUCUGCCACUCAUUGGUUAUGAGGAGGCCCAGAGCAGGUAAGUUCACCUUCCUGGCCUUACUUUCCUGAUGUGUAAUACGGAAUUACUUCACAGUAGCAUGACAGUAUAAGACACCAGCAGUAGAUACAACUAUGAUGACAUUCCAUGAGUUGGUAUUUUUAGUUCUAACUGCUAAAUUUGUUCUCUUUACGGGACAGAUUUCUAAUAAAGUGCUUGGUCUUAAAAUACAUGGUUGGACAGAGGUGCCCUAUCCCUUAACUAUGAGCAGGUGCUACCUUUUGGGAUAUUUAUUUUAAAUUUUAAUACUUUGGUACUCAAUUGUCAGUGUUCCAUGGUGUGUAUUUUUAUUUUUGGGAUUAGUGGGGGUCUAAAGGGAGAAGAAUAGUCUCUAAUUACUACCUCUUAACCUAAAGCAAUUAUUUUGUUCCUGGAGCAAGUUAAAUCUUUGUUGGAAGGAGCUUUGGCCAUAUAUUUUUUAGCAUGCAUUGUUUCUGUGCCCUGAAAGUACCUGAAAGGUUUUAAGCACAGACUCAGGAAAAUGUGCCAGUAGAACAGGCCAUCUCCAGGAAAUUGGCUCUAUUUGGGUCCUGACCUUCCCUUCCUCCCAAGUUAGCAGGCUUGUUCUUUCGCAAGGAAUACACAUCUUGCCUUUUUUUUUUUUUUUUUGCCAUGUUUUCCUUUUCUUGGUCAUGUAUAAGCAAUAAAGCUGUUUUUUGUUCUUCAUCUUUCUUAACCCCAAAUUUUCUUCUAUGCCUUAGGCUUCGAUGGUUCUUCCAACCCCCUUAAUAUGGCUUAGGGUGGUUUUUCAAAACCUACAAUCCCCCAUUUGCACUACUGGCCAUGGAACAUUUAUUUCUAGUGUUCCUGCCAAUCAGAGAUCUCUAUAUUAAAUUCUAAAAUGGGAUUAAAAGAAGAGUUGGAGAAUUCACACUUAUUGAGUAACUGAUGUCAUACAACCUGGAAUUUCUGAAUUCCAAAUAAAUAAAUUUCACUCUUUGAA